ACAAUGAUACUUCCGUCCGGCAGCACGUAGUGCGGGGCGGCCCGUGGAGAUCCUUCGGGGGGUUCGAUUCCCAUGA
rnacentral:ncRNA from 1 species